AUUGUGGUUGCCCUUCUCAUAAAGUUCAAGCACAAACUAUUAGCUGUGUUCCCAACCACUUGUGCAUAUCGGCCUCAUCCAGGACCUGCCACAGAUCUGCCAGUUAAAACAGACCCUCAUUACUCCUUUAUUGAAUUCUCCUCUAUUCAGAGAGAUCUUGUAACUCAAACCACUAACACUGACGUGACAUAUUCACAGGUACAAACCUGAAUUCACUCUCUUCCACUAAACAAGACCCAUUCAACUCUAGAAGUAGCUAAGGAACAUUCCAGUCUAACUUAUUCUAAGAACUGGAAAAGUAAACUGGAUCAUCUAUAUUGCUAUUUUGGAUUCCGGAUUCACUGGUAAAUGAAAGUUUGGCAGGAAAAAAUUCCUUGGGUUUUUCUGUUUGUGUUUAAUACCAGAACUUGCACAGUUUGGCUUCACUUAUACCAACUAAUUCAAUGGAAGGAAGCAAAGCAGCAAGAUGGAAAGUUCUUCAGGAACAAGCAAGAC